CUUCUCCCUCACCUUACUCCAUUACAGUCUCUGCUUCUCAAAAAAAAGAAAAAUCAUGACUCUCACUUCUGCUAUUGUCAAAACACCACCACCAUGAACCAAUUAAAAAUAAACCAUUUUCUCUACAAUUUUUCUCUGAAGACCAUUUUGUCUUCAAUCUUUCUCUUGUAAACCUAUCACCAUUAAAUGUAAACCUACCACCAUUAAAUCUUCGAGAGAAAUAUUUCUCCUGAUUAUAUUGCUCUUCAAUCAUUCUCUUGAAAACCCACCACUGUUUUCUCUUCAAUAUUCCCCGUGCUUGAUUUUCUACAGGAAAAGUUAGGGUUUGCAAUUUCGAAACUAGGGUUUGCAAUUGUUUUGUCGGAUUCGUUAUGAAGAUCAUGUUGUUUGUAGUUUCUAAUUAUUUUAGCCACAAAUCAAUGAGGAAACCUGUGGUCUGCAGUGUUUUCGAUAGGAUAUACGUGAGUGACUAGGGAAGAAACAGGCCGAUAUCAAUAUGGCGGAUGCAAAGAAAAGCUCAGAGAUGUUCGCUGCUAAAGGUGUCAAAGAAAAGAGUGCACAUGGAGGCUGAAGAAAACAAAGCAAGAGUGGUAAAGAAGGUUGAAGAUAUGUUUUUACAAAGAAUAUCUAGCUGCCUUCUUUUUUUCUUGGAGUACGAUUAGUUCUGUUGGUUAUCGCUUGCGCCAAAAUCAAAUCAAAUCUUUCACGGGUAAUCACAGAAAUGUUAAGAAAAUUGUAUAUUUAUUUAGUAAAUAUAUUUACAGUACACUAACAAUGACAAUUAUCAAAGUGCAGGUAACCUAGAACUGGAAGCAACAAACGGCAAAUAUAUAUCUCAAUCUGAUGAAUAUCAUGCAUAUAUUUUACCUGUAUAGAGAAGAAGUAACAGUUUUAGCAGUCAACUUACCUUGUGGUUGUAUAUCAUUAGAAGUUUUUGUUAUGAAUCUUGUGAUCCUUUCUAAGUUAUCAGUAUAAUUAGAUAAGAAUCAAGCUUUCUAUGCCUUGAUAAUCACUGCUUCAUUUGAUACCUUGUGUAUUCUUUUGUUCUGCAUAUGAAAGUGAGAGAUGCUCUAAGUUCUGCUAUGGGGAAGUAGUGAUGGAUUGCUUAUAUGCAAAGUGUGGAUGUUAUUCUUUCGUUCCGUGUUUCUGAAUGUUAGUCUGUGAUCUUUUUUGUGUCUGAUUAGUUUGAUAUGCUUGAUUUGACUCAUUUGUUGUUUUGUUCCUUUCCUAUUGCUGACAAGCCAUUCCUUGCGUCAUGGCAGAGCUGGAAAAGUUAUAUCAUAACAGAAGAACCGAGUUGCUUUGAGGUUAGAUGUUUAUUUGAGAAGUUUCAUUGUUGUCAAAUCAACUAGCAUGUUUUAUUCUUAACUCUGGGGAUUAUUCUUAAGCUAAACUAUGCAACAUGUCAUUUAUCGUCUGAUAGUAGUGUAAAGGAUCGUUGAUUUGAGAGACUGCCAUGUACUCACUAAGGAACUUAUGCUGAUCAUUAUAUGGUUAAGAGAGUUACCCAGGUAUGAACCAACACCAGAACCUGUUGGUUCAUGUUUAUUGUUGACACAUGGUUGUAUCACGUCUCUACAUCAAUACUGUAUGAUUCGUUUUAUUUUAUACUAUUUUGUCUUGUGCGAACCUUGCUUUCUUCUGGAUGCAGCACAAUAGUUACAUCGUUACGACAUGUGAUAGUAAUUUGAAGCGAAAAAUUCACAAGGUUCUGAAGAAUAACUCUAAUGGUGCCGAAACUGGUUCGUUACUGCAUUUGAUGAAGGAAGAAACUCCGAAUGCACAACUUAGAGUUCUUGAGUAUCUCUGGAUCCACACCUUUGAUAGAGAUAAAACAAUUAUAUAGUUGGCACAAUAUGGCCAGAAGGAGCUGAAAGCUUGGCGUCCAUUCCAUGAAGGCUUCGAGACAAGUAGUGGGGAGUGAAUCUAAGAUUGCUCAAGUAUUUUUGGAGGUGUAGUGUGGUGAUGAUAUGAUAACAAAUGAGAGUAAGGAAGAUUUGCAAUGUUUAAUUUAGAAAUCAUGAAAGUAAUCUAAAACAUAAAAAUCUAUAUAGUUGAACUUAUACAGUGUUUAAUGAUGAUCUGAUGAAAGCUUACCAGAAUAUAGGUAUCUAGAAUAAUUGAA